rnacentral:pre_miRNA from 1 species
AAAGUGAAAUUGAGCCAAGGAUGACUUGCCGGCAUACUACUUUGCCACUAAUUUAGCUAACUAGCUUAAUUUGUUGGGUAUUUCUGGCAGGUUAUUCUUCGGCUAUAUUUGGCUUUCU